ensembl:lncRNA
UAACUGUCCUGAGGGGCUUAUAUAGGACCAAGAUGGGGAGGGAGGUUGGGAACAGUGAGUCAGUAAACAACAUAUAUUAAAUGCCUACCAUGUACCAAUUGCUGGGGAUACAAACAGUUCCUGCUCUCCUGGAGCUUACAGUCUAACGGAAGAGACAACAUACAAACAACUACGAACCAUCUAUCCAUCAGGAGAAAAUUGGAACAGCAGAGGGUAGGGUCCUAAUGUAUGGGGUGGGGAGGGUUGGAGGGACCUAUUUUUAUCCAGAGUAGGUAUGGUUGUGUUGGAGAUAGUUGAUUAUCACUGGGGUGAGAUUCAACCCAUCUUUCCACCCUCCAACUGAUUGAUGACAUACUGUACCCCAGGAGACCCUGCCCCUAAUCCCUUUUUGAGACUACAGUCCUAAUGAAUAGACUCCUGAACUUGAAGUCAGAAAAAUAUAGGCUCACAUCCCACCUCACAUACCUCCUAGCUGUAUGACUUUACGCAAGUCACUUAACCUCUCUGUGCCUCAGUUUUCUCAUCUGUAAAAUGGGGAUAAUAUUAGCCCCUACCUUCCAGGGUUGUGGCGAAGAUUAAAUAAUAUUUGUAAAGUGCUUUGCAAACUUUAAAGUAUUCUAUAAACAUUAGAUAUUUAUUAUUAUUAUUGUUGUUGUUACAAUUAUCUUCUUUUCUCAUGGUGUUGGGUCUCUACCAGCCUACGGUGGGGGCCUUGCAGAAAGGGCCCAGAGCAAUACCCCACAUCUCCUGGUCAUAGCUGCUGUCCUCUGGUCCCGGAGGAGGAGAAGGAAGUGGAGCUGGGAAGAGACAACAGAAAGCAGUCUUCCUGGAUCAGGCUUUCCCUGUCCCCCUGCCCCUCCCCCUCCCCUCACCGGGAGUUCGGUUCCUCUCAGGAAGUAGAGAAUCAAGGAACAGAGAACACGGUAAUACCAGCAGGAGGGGUUGGGAGGGGGACGUUACUUAACAGCAGAAGACUGAAGGUGGGUGAGUGGGAAGGCCUUUUGUGGAGAUGUGAGAUCUGGCCUAAGCAAGAAGUGCAGAACAACCCCAGAUGGCCCUGUCCCUUCCCCUCAAACUCCUGGUUCCAGCAAGUUCUGUGUUCUUGGAAGGAUUUGGGGAGGUGUGUAUGUUGGGAGGGAACUCUGCUGAAAGAAUGUGGAAUAUAACUUUGGGGUAUAUUCUAGAACAGGGAUUUUGUGGUGGUGGUGAUUCUGAUGGAAUUCUUAGCAGGCAUUUGGGAUGGGGGAUGAUGAUUUGACAUUCACACAGUUGGCAGGGACCUUAGAGGCCAUUCUAUUUCAACCCACACCUGAACAGGUGACCCAGAACCAGGCUGAGGAUGAAGGAGGGAAGAUGUUUACUGCCCCUCCUCCCAUCUUCCCCAGGUAUUGAUGGAGCGUGGGCUGAUUGGGCACACACUCAGAUCAGAGACAUUCCCCAUUCUUCAGCUCUGCUCAGGCUGAAACUUAAUCCUCCCAUCCCUGGGCAGCCUUUGGGAGGAAGAGAGGGAGGGGGUGUGUUGAAUGUGUGUUUGGGGGUGGGGGGCAGUGAGGGAGAAUAAAAGAGGCACUGACCUUAGGUGCCUUAGGCUA